UCGAGGGGCAGCACGGGGGUAGCAAUACACUGUGUGGCGACCGGCGCACGGGUGCGUAACGCGUAUGCAACCUACCCAUAACAGGGGGAUAACACUGAGAAAUUGGUACUAAUACCCCAUAACAUCAGGACCGGCAUCGGUUCUGGUUGAAAACUCCGGUGGUUAUGGAUGGGCAUGCGUUGUAUUAGCUGGUUGGUGAGGUAACGGCUCACCAAGGCAACGAUACAUAGGGGGACUGAGAGGUUAACCCCCCACAUUGGUACUGAGACACGGACCAAACUCCUACGGGAGGCAGCAGUGAGGAAUAUUGGUCAAUGGACGCAGGUCUGAACCAGCCAUGCCGCGUGCAGGAAGACGGCUCUAUGAGUUGUAAACUGCUUUUGUACGAGGGUAAACGCUCUUACGUGUAAGAGCCUGAAAGUAUCGUACGAAUAAGGAUCGGCUAACUCCGUGCCAGCAGCCGCGGUAAUACGGAGGAUCCAAGCGUUAUCCGGAUUUAUUGGGUUUAAAGGGUGCGUAGGCGGUUUGAUAAGUUAGAGGUGAAAUACCGGUGCUUAACACCGGAACUGCCUCUAAUACUGUUGGACUAGAGAGUAGUUGCGGUAGGCGGAAUGUAUGGUGUAGCGGUGAAAUGCUUAGAGAUCAUACAGAACACCGAUUGCGAAGGCAGCUUACCAAACUAUAUCUGACGUUGAGGCACGAAAGCGUGGGGAGCAAACAGGAUUAGAUACCCUGGUAGUCCACGCAGUAAACGAUGAUAACUCGCUGUCGGCGAUACACGGUCGGCGGCUAAGCGAAAGCGAUAAGUUAUCCACCUGGG
rnacentral:rRNA from 1 species